UACGUAGGGUGCGAGCGUUGUCCGGAAUUAUUGGGCGUAAAGAGCUCGUAGGCGGUCUGUUGCGUCGGCUGUGAAAACCCGGGGCUCAACCCCGGGCCUGCAGCCGAUACGGGCAGACUAGAGUUCGGCAGGGGAGACUGGAAUUCCUGGUGUAGCGGUGAAAUGCGCAGAUAUCAGGAGGAACACCGGUGGCGAAGGCGGGUCUCUGGGCCGAUACUGACGCUGAGGCGCGAAAGCGUGGGGGGCAAACAGG
rnacentral:rRNA from 1 species